rnacentral:rRNA from 1 species
GAUGAACGCUGGCGGCGUGCCUAAUACAUGCAAGUCGAAUGUAUUGAGAGAAGUGCUUGCACUUUUCAAUUUGAGUGGUGAACGGGUGAGUAACACGUGGGCAACCUAUCUGAUAGCGGGGGAUAACGAGUGGAAACAUUCGCUAGUACCGCAUAACAAUCGAGCAGGCAUCAUCUUUAUUUAAAACGCGCUUACAAGAGUCACCAUCAAAUGGGCCCGCGGUGCAUUAGUUAGUUGGUGGGGUGAAGGCCUACCAAGACGAUGAUGCAUAGCCGAGUUGAGAGACUGAUCGGCCACAUUGGGACUGAAACACAGCCCAAACUCCUACGGGAGGCUGCAGUAGGGAAUCUUCCACAAUGGACGAAAGUCUGAUGGAGCAACGCCGAGUGUGUGAUGAAGGCUUUCGGGUCGUAAAGCACUGUUGUAUGGGAAGAAAUGCUAGGCUAGGAAAUGAGCUUAGUUUGACGGUACCAUACCAGAAAGGGACGGCUAAAUACGUGCCAGCCGCCGCCGUAA